AGAGUUUGAUCCUGGCUCAGAUUGAACGCUGGCGGCAGGCCUAACACAUGCAAGUCGAGCGGUAGAGAGAAGCUUGCUUCUCUUGAGAGCGGCGGACGGGUGAGUAAUGCCUAGGAAUCUGCCUGGUAGUGGGGGAUAACGUUCGGAAACGGACGCUAAUACCGCAUACGUCCUACGGGAGAAAGCAGGGGACCUUCGGGCCUUGCGCUAUCAGAUGAGCCUAGGUCGGAUUAGCUAGUUGGUGAGGUAAUGGCUCACCAAGGCGACGAUCCGUAACUGGUCUGAGAGGAUGAUCAGUCACACUGGAACUGAGACACGGUCCAGACUCCUACGGGAGGCAGCAGUGGGGAAUAUUGGACAAUGGGCGAAAGCCUGAUCCAGCCAUGCCGCGUGUGUGAAGAAGGUCUUCGGAUUGUAAAGCACUUUAAGUUGGGAGGAAGGGCAGUUACUUAAUACGUGAUUGUUUUGACGUUACCGACAGAAUAAGCACCGGCUAACUCUGUGCCAGCAGCCGCGGUAAU
rnacentral:rRNA from 1 species